UACGUAGGGAGCAAACGUUGUCCGGAUUUAUUGGGCGUAAAGGGCUCGUAGGCGGUUCAACAAGUCGAUCGUGAGAGCCCGGGGCUCAACCCCGGGAUGCCGGUCGAAACUGUUGUGACUAGAGUUCGGUAGAGGUGAGUGGAAUUCUCGGUGUAGCGGUGGAAUGCGCAGAUAUCGAGAGGAACACCAUUAGCGAAGGCGGCUCACUGGGCCGAUACUGACGCUGAGGAGCGAAAGCAUGGGGAGCAAACAGG
rnacentral:rRNA from 1 species